CAGCCGCCGCGGGAAUACGGAGGGUGCAAGCGUUAAUCGGAAUUACUGGGCGUAAAGCGCACGCAGGCGGUUUGUUAAGUCAGAUGUGAAAUCCCCGAGCUUAACUUGGGAACUGCAUUUGAAACUGGCAAGCUAGAGUCUUGUAGAGGGGGGUAGAAUUCCAGGUGUAGCGGUGAAAUGCGUAGAGAUCUGGAGGAAUACUGGUGGCGAAGGCGGCCCCCUGGACAAAGACUGACGCUCAGGUGCGAAAGCGUGGGGAGCAAACAGGAUUAGAUACCCCUGUAGUCCCUGUCUCUUAUAC
rnacentral:rRNA from 1 species